AGAGUUUGAUCAUGGCUCAGCCUGAACGCUGGCGGCGUGGUUAAGACAUGCAAGUCGUACGGUGUAGCAAUACACAGUGGCGCACGGGUGAGUAAUGUAUCGCUAAUGUACCCUGGAGACUGUGAUAGCUGCCCGAAAGGGCAGGUAAUACCAGAUGAAACACUUUGGUCGCAUGGCCGAGGUUUCAAAGGGCAACCGCUCUGGGAGCAGGCGAUAUCCUAUCAGCUUGUUGGUGAGGUAACGGCUCACCAAGGCUACGACGGGUAACCGGACUGAGAGGUCGGCCGGUCACAUUGGAACUGAGACACGGUCCAGACUCCUACGGGGGGCUGCAGUAACGAAUCUUCCCCAAUGCACGAAAGUGUGAGGGAGCGACGCCGCGUGGAGGACGAAGUCCUUCGGGAUGUAAACUCCUGUCAGGGGUUACCAAGUUCUGAGGAACCCCAGAGGAAGAGGCGACUAACUCUGUGCCAGCAGCCGCGGUAAUUC
rnacentral:rRNA from 1 species